rnacentral:rRNA from 1 species
AUUGAACGCUGGCGGCAGGCCUAACACAUGCAAGUCGAACGGUAACAGGAAACAGCUUGCUGUUUCGCUGACGAGUGGCGGACGGGUGAGUAAUGUCUGGGAAACUGCCUGAUGGAGGGGGAUAACUACUGGAAACGGUAGCUAAUACCGCAUAACGUCGCAAGACCAAAGAGGGGGACCUUCGGGCCUCUUGCCAUCGGAUGUGCCCAGAUGGGAUUAGCUAGUAGGUGGGGUAACGGCUCACCUAGGCGACGAUCCCUAGCUGGUCUGAGAGGAUGACCAGCCACACUGGAACUGAGACACGGUCCAGACUCCUACGGGAGGCAGCAGUGGGGAAUAUUGCACAAUGGGCGCAGGCCUGAUGCAGCCAUGCCGCGUGUAUGAAGAAGGCCUUCGGGUUGUAAAGUACUUUCAGCGGGGAGGAAGGUGCUGAGGUUAAUAACCUCAGCAAUUGACGUUACCCGCAGAAGAAGCACCGGCUAACUCCGUGCCAGCCGCCGCCGUAA